rnacentral:rRNA from 1 species
UCCCAGUUCGGAUUGCAGUCUGCAACUCGACUGCAUGAAGCUGGAAUCGCUAGUAAUCGUGAAUCAGAAUGUCACGGUGAAUACGUUCCCGGGUCUUGUACACACCGCCCGUCACACCAUGGGAGUCGGAUAUGCCCGAAGUCAGUGACCCAACCGCAAGGAGGGAGCUGCCGAAGGUGGAGCCGAUGACUGGGGUGAAGUCGUAACAAGGUAUC